rnacentral:rRNA from 1 species
AACGGCGAGUGAAGCGGCAACAGCUCAAAUUUGAAAUCUGGCGUCUUCGGCGUCCGAGUUGUAAUUUGCAGAGGGCGCUUUGGCAUUGGCAGCGGUCCAAGUUCCUUGGAACAGGACGUCACAGAGGGUGAGAAUCCCGUACGUGGUCGCUAGCCUUUACCGUGUAAAGCCCCUUCGACGAGUCGAGUUGUUUGGGAAUGCAGCUCUAAAUGGGAGGUAAAUUUCUUCUAAAGCUAAAUACUGGCCAGAGACCGAUAGCGCACAAGUAGAGUGAUCGAAAGAUGAAAAGCACUUUGGAAAGAGAGUUAAAAAGCACGUGAAAUUGUUGAAAGGGAAGCGCUUGCAGCCAGACUUGCCUGUAGUUGCUCAUCCGGGUUUCUACCCGGUGCACUCUUCUAUAGGCAGGCCAGCAUCAGUUUGGGCGGUUGGAUAAAGGUCUCUGUCAUGUACCUCUCUUCGGGGAGAACUUAUAGGGGAGACGACAUGCAACCAGCCUGGACUGAGGUCCGCGCAUCUGCUAGGAUGCUGGCGUAAUGGCUGUAAGCGGCCCGUCUUGAAACACGGACCAAGGAGUCUAACAUCUAUGCGAGUGUUUGGGUGUCAAGCCCGAGCGCGUAAUGAAAGUGAACGGAGGUGGGAACCUUUCGGGGUGCACCAUCGACCGAUCCUGAUGUCUUCGGAUGGAUUUGAGUAAGAGCAUAGCUGUUGGGACCCGAAAGAUGGUGAACUAUGCUUGAAUAGGGUGAAGCCAGAGGAAACUCUGGUGGAGGCUCGCAGCGGUUCUGACGUGCAAAUCGAUCGUCAAAUUUGGGC